GACCUCAAAUCAGGUAAGAAUACCCGCUGAACUUAAGCAUAUCAAUAAGCGGAGGAAAAGAAAAUAACAAUGAUUCCCUCAGUAACGGCGAGCGAAGAGGGAUAAGCUCAAAUUUUAAAUCUGUUGGGUUCCACUUAACAGAGUUGUAUUUUGAAGAAACGUUUUCUGCAUCCAGGAUUAGCCUAAAUCCUUUGGGAUAAGGUAUCAUGGAGGGUGAGAAUCCCGUUCAUGGUUAAUCUUAAGGAAGCUCUACGAUACGUUUUCCAAGAGUCGAGUUGUUUGGGAUUGCAGCUCAAAAUGGGAGGUAAAUUUCUCCUAAGGCUAAAUAUUGGCGAGAGACCGAUAGCGAACAAGUACCGUGAGGGAAAGAUGAAAAGAACUUUGAAAAGAGAGUUAAACAGUACGUGAAAUUGUUGAAAGGGAAACGAUUGAAGUCAGUCAUACCAACGGGAAAUCAACCUUUUGAGUUUGGUCUCGUGGGUUUUGAAGAGUUUCAAAGCCUUCGGAUUCGCGGGAUUGGGAUCUCUUGGUGUACUUUUUCGUACGGUUAGUCAACAUCGGUUUUGAAUGUCAUAAAAUGACUGGAGGAAUGUAGCUUCGAUCUCGUAUUGAAGUGUUAUAGCCUUUGGUAGAUGUGAUGUUUGAGACCGAGGAUUGCAACGGAUACCCUUUAGGGCUAUUCGUCUGAUCUCUGAUACGUUGCCUUGAUGUUGAAAGCUUGCUUAUGAUGUUAGGGUAUUACGGUCAAAAGGUUAGAACGGAUUAGAUUCGUUAAGGAUGUUGACGUAAUGACUUUAAACGACCCGUCUUGAAACACGGACCAAGGAGUCUAACAUAUAUGCGAGUGUUUGGGUGAUUAAACCCUUGCGCGUAAUGAAAGUAAUUUUGGUGAGAUCCGGGAAAAAAUUUUCGGAGCAUCAUCGACCGAUCAGGAUAUUU
rnacentral:rRNA from 1 species